CUCAUCGGCUGAUCUAUACAA
rnacentral:misc_RNA from 1 species